UACGUAGGGUGCAAGCGUUACUCGGAAUUACUGGGCGUAAAGCGUGCGUAGGUGGUGGUUUAAGUCAGAUGUGAAAGCCCUGGGCUCAACCUGGGAACUGCAUUUGAUACUGGAUCACUAGAGUGCGGUAGAGGAUAGUGGAAUUCCCGGUGUAGCAGUGAAAUGCGUAGAGAUCGGGAGGAGCACCAGUGGCGAAGGCGACUAUCUGGACCAGCACUGACACUGAGGCACGAAAGCGUGGGGAGCAAACAGG
rnacentral:rRNA from 1 species